CCAGAGGAGCUGGUACCCUGAGCUCCGGUCCACUGGGACACUAUGUGCGCUGCGCCAUCCCGUCCCCCCCCUCCUUCCCCGGCCUGACACUACAGAGUGGCCACUCCUCCACUUCAGAGCAGCCCCAUUACUCCCCCUCCGACGGGCAUUCCUCCGGCCCCCCAGCCCAGUCACACUCCUCCCCGUGCCGGACACUAUGUAGCGGCCAUUCUUUCCCUCCGUCUUCCUGAUCCGCGGACAUCACAGAUCGGCCAAGGGACGGACAGUACAGAGCGGCCAUUCCUCUCUCUCUCUCCCCCCCCCCCCCCCCUUUCCUGGACCGGUCACGACACUGCAGUCUCUCCCCCCUGGACUGAACACGACACUGCAGUGUGAGGAGAACAGCAGGCACUCACUUUUUAACUUCAGUUCAGGGACGCCACUUCCUUCUACUUCAACCUCCGCGCACAGGAUAUAACUGGAAAUGCAACUGUAAGUAGAAUGAUGGCUGUGACUUUAAGACAAGGCUAAAGAACACUGCAGCUGGGUCUUUAAGACGAUACUGUAGAAUACUGCGGCUGUGGCUUUAAGACGAGACUGAAGAAUACUGCGGCUGCGGCUUUAAGACGAGACUGUAGAAUACUGCAGCUGUGGCUUUAAGACGAGACUGUGGAAUGCUGCGGCUAUGGCCUUAAGACGAGACGAAUACUGGAUAUCAAUGGUAACACAACUGUAAUCCAGACUGGGUAACAAAAGAGCAGAGUUUUACAGGAACCGAAGUACAAGUGUUACUUUUAGGGAACUCAGCUUCUAAACUCACACAGAGCUGUGUGUGACACAAGGAACUGGCCAAGUCUGCAAUUCAAGUGUCCUGACUUGUACUUCCUGGUUCUUGGUGAUUGGUGAGCAGAGUCAGGUGAUUCAGAGAGUCUCAGGCUGGCACAGGAUUAGUCAGCUCCGGGUCAGGUGAUCAGACACUGUCACGUGAGUACUCCAGAUUAGGCUCUGAUGUGGAGUGAGGCCUAGCAGGCCGAAAGAACACUGAAGCCUGAACUUCUGCAAAUGAACAGAGGAUGCUGACUUUUAGGCCUAAGCUUCAGAUUGCUGAAUUCAGAUUCACACAGGUUAAUCACCACAGGUGGAGCUCGUUAACUCUGCUCUCAGGAAACUCAUGGUACUGACAAGCUGUUUAUCCCAGUGAGCAAAAAGACACAGCAUCCAGGACAGAUGGCAGAGGGAUUAAGGACAUCCUCCGUCAGAGAACACAUUCAUAUAAUAUUGUGAAUUUAUAUCGUGUUCCCUCAUGACCAUGGCUGUACCAGCUACAUGCAAUCUGCAAAUGAUUUAAUGGGCAGUAAAGCCGACAAAAGAAUCUGGAAUUGCAGCAUCUUCUGGACGAUGGGAUCUCCUACAUGAAUAGUUAAUAACGACUGAAGAUGCCAUCUGUCUCAGAUGAUACAGUUCUUCAGAGGUUCCAUAUUGUGAGAAACCAUCAUACA